GGCUGGGUAGCUCAGCCGGUUAGAGCGCACGACUCAUAAUCGUGAGGUCGGGAGUUCGAGUCUCCCCCCAGCUA
rfam:Gemmatimonas aurantiaca T-27 DNA, complete genome.